AGUAGCGUAAGGGUGCGUAACACGUAUGCAAUCUGCCCUGUACAGGAGAAUAGCUCGGCGAAAGCCGGAUUAAUACUCCGUAAUAUUACUGAAUGGCAUCAUUUGGUAAUUAAAGUCGCAAGACGGUAUGGGAUGAGCAUGCGUCUGAUUAGCUAGUUGGUGGUGUAACGGACCACCAAGGCGAUGAUCAGUAGGGGAACUGAGAGGUUGAUCCCCCACACUGGCACUGAGAUACGGGCCAGACUCCUACGGGAGGCAGCAGUAGGGAAUAUUGGUCAAUGGAUGCAAGUCUGAACCAGCCAUGCCGCGUGCAGGAAGAAGGCCUUCUGGGUUGUAAACUGCUUUUGCCGGGGGAUAAAAAGUCCAUGCGUGGACAAUUGAAGGUACCCGGUGAAUAAGCCACGGCUAACUACGUGCCAGCAGCCGCGGUAAUACGUAGGUGGCAAGCGUUGUCCGGAUUUAUUGGGUUUAAAGGGUGCGUAGGCGGCCUAUUAAGUCAGUUCUGAAAUAUCCCGGCUUAACCGGGAGGGUGGGAUUGAUACUGAUGGGCUUGAGUGGAAUCGAGGUAGGCGGAAUUGACGGUGUAGCGGUGAAAUGCUUAGAUAUCGUCAAGAACACCGAUAGUGUAGACAGCUUACUAGACUUCAACUGACGCUGAGGCACGAAAGUGUGGGGAUCAAACAGGAUUAGAUACCCUGGUAGUCCACACUGU
rnacentral:rRNA from 1 species